GCUGGCGGACGACCGCCGGUACUACACGGACACCACGGGGACGGGGAACUCGCUGCUGAUGCGGUCCCCG
rnacentral:ncRNA from 1 species